ACCUCUUUGCCAUGCCUGCUCUCUGCAAUGUGAACACAAGAGCUAUUGCUCCAGCAGUCAUCUUAGAUCAUAAGGUGAUCUUUGAAAAUGGAAGCCAAACACUGAGGAUAUGGGAACAGAGAGAAGGAAUCCGGGUCCCUGAGUUUUUUGAGAAACAAUUGUGAAGCUGCCAUCCAAACCCUGAACUGCCUACCUUCCAGAUUUCUUAUGUGUCUAACUACUAUAAAAAGAUAUCUACCAGCAGAUGAAUUCAAUUCUUAACAAAUAUGAAAUUUGGGACAUGGAAGUGGGGUGAUACAAGUAACAGAGACUAAAAUAAGGCACCCUUAAGGGAGUUGAUGAAGCAAACAUUAAUUCUGAUAUUGCUAGCUGGAAAACCGGUGACCUUAUUAAAAGAGAGUGAAGGAUUUGGUCAACUGUGGUCAUCUACAGAAACUGAAACAAACCAUAUGUCAACUAAUGCUAUAGCAAGGAGAGAAAUCUAGAAAAAAGAAAUCAGAAUGUUGGCAUGUGCUGGCUUCUUAUCACUUAAAGUCCUGAGAGAGAAAUAAACUUCAGAGUUGCAAGCAGAGAUGGAGAAAAUGCAGAUUUCCUAAGGGAGGGGUAACUCCCUGCCUAUGGCCUGCAAUUCAAGCUAAUAGUCCUAUAAUUCAAAGUCUUGCAUAGCUGAAAAAACACCAACUGCUUCUGAAGUAGCAAACUGAAGUAAUUGAAUGGUAGCUACAAAACUACAGCCUUGGCAGUAGGGAAGACUGGUACCUUACCACACAAAACUAAGGUCGUAAGGGUGUUGUCUUUCCACCCAUGAUUUCCACCAUUGUUUCAAAUGGCCUCAUCAGAAUCAUCAUUCCCUCAGAAGCCAGAAGAGGCCAAUGAACUUGGAUGGUGAAAAAAUACUCUUUAUUUCCACCAACUUUAAAAACUCGCACCUCUUCAAGACAGUUGGUCUCUGCUCCAUUUAGGAAAUAAAUGGACAGCAUCAAACUAAUCCCCACCAAGAUUUCAGGAAGCUUAAGAAUGACUGGUACUUCUGAAGAAAACAGCCUAGACUCAAUCAGAAGAAAACCGGCAUUCAUUUGUUAGCUCUACUAAUAGGAAAUCUCUCUGAAUCUACUCAAAGAACUUCUUGUAAAUUAAUAUGAGAACUGAAUAUGAGCCAAGAGAGUGACUCAGCUGCUAAAAAGAAACAAAAUACAAUCUUAAACUUCAUUAAAAGAAUAGUAUCCAGAUCAAGGAAGGGCCCUGGUCCCAAGCACUCUUCCCUGGUUGGUUCACAACUGGAGUAUUAUACUCUGUUUUGAGCGUCACAUUUUAAUAACACUUACAAGCUAGAACGCUUGCAGGGAGAGAUAUCAACCUAGUGAGGAGUUUAGAAGCCAAAUGUAAGUGCAGAAUGUCCGAAAAAACUGGGUGUGUUUAAUAUGGAGAAGAAAACAUUUCCCUGCUUUCCUUGUCACCUCAACCAUAGAGACCCUGAGGAUAUUAUUUUCCAGAGGAUUUCAAGAGUUAAUAAGGAUUCCAUUGUCAGGUAAGUUAAGUUUGAGAUGAACUUUUUUUUCUCUAACAGACUUACCAUAGUGUUCAACAUCCUCAAGUGCUUUAUGAUUCUUCAGGAAGGAUGUUCAUUCAGUAUUUCCAAUUGGAACCAUUUGUUCAUGCAACAGAAAUUCACCAAGCCCCAAAUAUUUGCCAAACAUUUCUCUAAGUGCUAGGGAUACAAUGAACACUUUUAAUAUUCUGGAUGAUACUUUGUGAAAAGACAAGUGAUCCUCUUGCUACUCCUCUAACUUGCAUUGUGCUCCCAUAUCUCUAGGUUUUUUAUUAUGCUAUCAGCCUAGAACAUCCAUCACUAAUCUUAAUUCAAAUAUCAUCUCCUCCACAAAGCUUUUCUGAUCAUAAGCAAAAACUCACUUUUCAACAAGCCAAUGGCUUUUUUUCUGUAUCAGUUCCUUGCAAAUAGACUAUGCCUCUUAAUUACCUUCAGAUUUCUCAUAAUGCCCAAGACAGUGUCUUGCAUGCACAGGUGUUCAAGAAAUAUUUGUGGAAUAAUCACUGAAAUACUUGAAGGAUUAUCUUGUUAAA